rnacentral:rRNA from 1 species
AUACAGGGGGUGCGAGCGUUAAUCGGAAUUACUGGGCGUAAAGAGUACGUAGGCGGUUGCUUAAGUCAGAUGUGAAAGCCCCGGGCUCAACCUGGGAACUGCAUUUGAAACUGAGUGACUAGAGUUUAAGAGAGGGGAGUAGAAUUCCGGGUGUAGCGGUGAAAUGCGUAGAGAUCCGGAGGAAUACCAGUUGCGAAGGCGGCUCCCUGGCUUAAAACUGACGCUGAGGUACGAAAGCGUGGGUAGCAAACAGGAGUAGAAACCCUAGUAGUCC